UAGUGGCGAACGGGUGAGUAACACGUGGGCAAUCUGCCCUUCACUCUGGGACAAGCCCUGGAAACGGGGUCUAAUACCGGAUACAACCACUGACCGCAUGGUCGGGUGGUGGAAAGCUCCGGCGGUGAAGGAUGAGCCCGCGGCCUAUCAGCUUGUUGGUGAGGUAAUGGCUCACCAAGGCGACGACGGGUAGCCGGCCUGAGAGGGCGACCGGCCACACUGGGACUGAGACACGGCCCAGACUCCUACGGGAGGCAGCAGUGGGGAAUAUUGCACAAUGGGCGAAAGCCUGAUGCAGCGACGCCGCGUGAGGGAUGACGGCCUUCGGGUUGUAAACCUCUUUCAGCAGGGAAGAAGCGAAAGUGACGGUACCUGCAGAAGAAGCGCCGGCUAACUACGUGCCAGCAGCCGCGGUAAUACGUAGGGCGCAAGCGUUGUCCGGAAUUAUUGGGCGUAAAGAGCUCGUAGGCGGCUUGUCACGUCGAUUGUGAAAGCCCGAGGCUUAACCUCGGGUCUGCAGUCGAUACGGGCUAGCUAGAGUGUGGUAGGGGAGAUCGGAAUUCCU
rnacentral:rRNA from 2 species